rnacentral:rRNA from 1 species
UGGGGAAUCUUCCGCAAUGGACGAAAGUCUGACGGAGCAACGCCGCGUGAGUGAUGACGGCCUUCGGGUUGUAAAGCUCUGUUAAUCGGGACGAAAGGCCUUCUUGCGAACAGUUAGAAGGAUUGACGGUACCGGAAUAGAAAGCCACGGCUAACUACGUGCCAGCAGCCGCGGUAAUACGUAGGUGGCAAGCGUUGUCCGGAAUUAUUGGGCGUAAAGCGCGCGCAGGCGGAUCAGUCAAUCUGUCUUAAAAGUUCGGGGCUUAACCCCGUGAUGGGAUGGAAACUGCUGAUCUAGAGUAUCGGAGAGGAAAGUGGAAUUCCUAGUGUAGCGGUGAAAUGCGUAGAUAUUAGGAAGAACACCAGUGGCGAAGGCGACUUUCUGGACGAAAACUGACGCUGAGGCGCGAAAGCCAGGGGAGCGAACGGGAUUAGAUACCCCGGUAGUCCUGGCCGUAAACGAUGGGUACUAGGUGUAGGAGGUAUCGACCCCUUCUGUGCCGGAGUUAACGCAAUAAGUACCCCGCCUGGGGAGUACGACCGCAAGGUUG